rnacentral:rRNA from 1 species
GGCAAAAUGGUACCGUAACUUCGGGAGAAGGUACGCUCUUGAUGGUGAAGUCCCUCGCGGAUGGAGCUGACGAGAGUCGCAGAUACCAGGUGGCUGCAACUGUUUAUUAAAAACACAGCACUGUGCAAAAUCGCAAGAUGACGUAUACGGUGUGACGCCUGCCCGGUGCCGGAAGGUUAAUUGAUGGGGUUAGCGCAAGCGAAGCUCUUGAUCGAAGCCCCGGUAAACGGCGGCCGUAACUAUAACGGUCCUAAGGUAGCGAAAUUCCUUGUCGGGUAAGUUCCGACCUGCACGAAUGGCGUAAUGAUGGCCACGCUGUCUCCACCCGAGACUCAGUGAAAUUGAAAUCGCUGUGAAGAUGCAGUGUACCCGCGGCUAGACGGAAAGACCCCGUGAACCUUUACUACAGCUUGGCACUGAACAUUGAACCUACAUGUGUAGGAUAGGUGGGAGGCUAUGAAGACGUGACGCCAGUUGCGUUGGAGCCGUCCUUGAAAUACCACCCUUGUAUGUUUGAUGUUCUAACUUAGACCCAUUAUCUGGGUUGAGGACAGUGCCUGGUGGGUAGUUUGACUGGGGCGGUCUCCUCCCAAAGAGUAACGGAGGAGCACGAAGGUGGGCUAAUCACGGUUGGACAUCGUGAGGUUAGUGCAAUGGCAUAAGCCCGCUUAACUGCGAGAAUGACGGUUCGAGCAGGUGCGAAAGCAGGUCAUAGUGAUCCGGUGGUUCUGUAUGGAAGGGCCAUCGCUCAACGGAUAAAAGGUACUCCGGGGAUAACAGGCUGAUACCGCCCAAGAGUUCAUAUCGACGGCGGUGUUUGGCACCUCGAUGUCGGCUCAUCACAUCCUGGGGCUGAAGUCGGUCCCAAGGGUAUGGCUGUUCGCCAUUUAAAGUGGUACGCGAGCUGGGUUUAGAACGUCGUGAGACAGUUCGGUCCCUAUCUGCCGUGGGCGUUGGAAGAUUGAAGGGGGCUGCUCCUAGUACGAGAGGACCGGAGUGGACGAACCUCUGGUGUUCGGGUUGUGUCGCCAGACGCAUUGCCCGGUAGCUAAGUUCGGAAUUGAUAAGCGCUGAAAGCAUCUAAGCGCGAAGCGAGCCCUGAGAUGAGUCUUCCCUGACAGUUUAACUGUCCUAAAGGGUUGUUCGAGACUAGAACGUUGAUAGGCAGGGUGUGUAAGCGUUGUGAGGCGUUGAGCUAACCUGUACUAAUUGCCCGUGAGGCUUAACCAU